rnacentral:rRNA from 1 species
GUUUGACCUCAAAUGCAGGUAGGAAUACCGGCUGAACUUAAGCAUAUCAAUAAGCGGAGGAAAAGAAACCAACAGGG